GAGCACGUAGGUGGGUUUGUAAGUCAGAUGUGAAAGCCUUCUGUUCAACGGAAGAAUUGCAUCUGAAACUGCGAGUCUUGAGUGUAGGAGGGGAGAAUGGAACUUCUGGUGGAGCGGUGAAAUGCGUAGAUAUCAGAAGGAGCUCCGGCGGCGAAAGCGAUUCUCUGGCCUAUUACUGACACUCAGUGUGCGAAAGCUAGGGGAGCAAACGGGAUUAGAUACCCCGGUAGUCCUAGCCGUAAACGAUGGGCACUAAGUAGAGGGGUUUU
rnacentral:rRNA from 1 species